rnacentral:rRNA from 1 species
GACGAACGCUGGCGGCGUGCUUAACACAUGCCAGUCGAACGGAAAGGCCUUUUCGGAGGUACUCGAGUGGCGAACGGGUGAGUAACACGUGGGUGAUCUGCCCUGCACUCUGGGAUAAGCCUGGGAAACUGGGUCUAAUACCGGAUAGGGCCGCACUUUAGUGUGUGUGGUGGAAAGUUUUUUCGGUGUAGGAUGAGCCCGCGGCCUAUCAGCUUGUUGGUGGGGUAAUGGCCUACCAAGGCGGCGACGGGUAGCCGGACUGAGAGGUUGGUCGGCCACAUUGGGACUGAGAUACGGCCCAGACUCCUACGGGAGGCAGCAGUGGGGAAUAUUGCACAAUGGGCGCAAGCCUGAUGCAGCGACGCCGCGUGGGGGAUGACGGCCUUCGGGUUGUAAACUCCUUUCGCCAGGGACGAAGCGUUUUGUGACAGUACCUGGAGAAGAAGCACCGGCUAACUACGUG